rnacentral:tRNA from 1 species
GGAAGGGUGGCAGAGCGGUCGAUUGCACCAGUCUUGAAAACUGGAGUCUCCGCAAGGGGACCGUGAGUUCGAAUCUCACCCCUUCCG